rnacentral:rRNA from 1 species
ACUCAAAUGAAUUGACGGGGACCCGCACAAGCAGCGGAGCGUGUGGUUUAAUUCGAUGCGACGCGAAGCACCUUACCUGGGUUCAAUUGUAAAUGCACCGGGGGUAAUGCCCCGUCUCCGCAAGGAGCGUUUAUGACGGUGCUGCAUGGCUGUCGUCAGCUCGUGCCGUGAGGUGUUGGGUUAAGUCCCCUAACGAGCGCAACCCCCGUGGACGGUUAUACCUCCGUUCAGACUGCCGCGCACAACGCGGAGGAAGGUGGGGAUGACGUCAAGUCAGCACGGCCCUUACGCCCAGGGCGACACACACGCUACAAUGGUUCGGACAAUGGGCAGCGACACGGCGACGUGAAGCGAAUCCCGCAAACCGAGCCUCAGUUCGGAUGGUAGGCUGCAACUCGCCUGCCUGAAGUCGGAGUUGCUAGUAACCGCAGGUCAGCACACUGCGGUGAAUACGUUCCCGGGUCUUGUACACACCGCCCGU